UAAGGAAUAUUGGUCAAUGGACGAAAGUCUGAACCAGCCAUGCCGCGUGGAGGAUGAAGGCCCUCUGGGUUGUAAACUUCUUUUAUAUGGGACGAAAAAGGGCCUUUCCAGGUCAACUGACGGUACCAUGUGAAUAAGCACCGGCUAACUCCGUGCCAGCAGCCGCGGUAAUACGGAGGGUGCAAGCGUUAUCCGGAUUCACUGGGUUUAAAGGGAGCGUAGGUGGGCUGGUAAGUCAGUGGUGAAAUCUCCGAGCUUAACUUGGAAACUGCCAUUGAUACUAUUAGUCUUGAAUAUUGUGGAGGUCAGCGGAAUAUGUCAUGUAGCGGUGAAAUGCUUAGAGAUGACAUAGAACACCAAUUGCGAAGGCAGCUGGCUACGCAUAUAUUGACACUGAGGCUCGAAAGCGUGGGGAUCAAACAGG
rnacentral:rRNA from 1 species